AAUAGAUACCCUGGUAGUCCACGCCGUAAACGUUGGGCGCUAGGUGUGGGGCUCAUUCCACGAGUUCCGUGCCGCAGCUAACGCAUUAAGCGCCCCGCCUGGGGAGUACGGCCGCAAGGCUAAAACUCAAAGGAAUUGACGGGGGCCCGCACAAGCGGCGGAGCAUGUUGCUUAAUUCGAUGCAACGCGAAGAACCUUACCUAGGCUUGACAUGCACGGAAAUCUCGCAGAGAUGCGGGGUCCGUAAGGGCCGUGCACAGGUGGUGCAUGGUUGUCGUCAGCUCGUGUCGUGAGAUGUUGGGUUAAGUCCCGCAACGAGCGCAACCCUCGUUCUAUGUUGCCAGCACGUCAUGGUGGGGACUCAUAGGAGACUGCCGGGGUCAACUCGGAGGAAGGUGGGGAUGACGUCAAAUCAUCAUGCCCCUUAUGUCUAGGGCUGCAAACAUGCUACAAUGGCCGGUACAAAGGGCUGCGAUACCGCGAGGUGGAGCGAAUCCCAAAAAGCCGGUCUCAGUUCGGAUUGGGGU
rnacentral:rRNA from 1 species